rnacentral:rRNA from 1 species
ACUAGGGAUCGGGUGACCUCAAUCUUGAUCGUUGUGCUCGGAACCUUACGAGAAAUCAAAGUCUUGGGGUACNGGGGGAGAUAUGGUCGCAAGGCUGAAAUUUAAAGGAAUUGACGGAAGGGCACCACCAGGUNUGGAGCCUGGGGUAAAUUGGACUCAACAGGGGGAAACUCACCAGGUCCAGACUAACUAGGAUUGACAGAUUGAUAGCUCCUUCAUGAUUUAAUGG